UAUAAAAAGUGCUUUGAGUCUCUAUCAUUGAAUAAAUCAACACUGGUUCACAAUAGUGCAAAUUAAAGAUACCAUCAGACUAAAUUUCACAUAAAUUUAUAGACAGACAUCAAUAAUAGAUAGAAGUAAAAACUUAAGGACAAUGCAGAGAGCAGGGAGGUUAGUCAGAGAGUGAAAUCGUCUUUUUAUUUUUAUUUGUUUCUAGACCUGUAUCAAAAUUGGCUGUUUCUUGAAAUGUAAGUGAAAACAGAAUUUCAACUUCCAUUUUCUUACAUGACACAUGAGACAUAACAACAAGCCCUUGGUGUGUGAAAUUGAUAAUAAAGGACUUUGAGUUAAUGAAUGAAGGCACAUCAUAUAUAAAAGUUGUGAAUGCAUUAAAUCUGUACAGGUCAUUUACAAAACGCUUCAAGAUUUCAAGAAGAUUUAAGAAAACUAUUCAGCAAUUAAAAAUAUAUUCCUAAU